rnacentral:misc_RNA from 1 species
CCAGGGAUGGCGGGAGCAGCGGUGGCGGCAUACGGGCUUAGGGGUAGCGGCAUGCUCGGGAAGAGCGGAUCUGCCACCUGCGGGCUCUGGAGUGAUGACGAUGAUGACCUCGUCGAGGGCUGCAAUGACGGAGCCAACAAGCUGCCCGCUGCUAGCUGCGACAAUGACGG